rnacentral:rRNA from 1 species
GAUGAACGCUGGCGGCGUGCUUAACACAUGCAAGUCGAACGGACAUGUCUUUCGGGAUAUGUUAGUGGCAGACGGGUGCGUAACACAUAGGUGACCUGCCCUGGAGUGGGGAAUAACUAUCCUAACGGAUAGCUAAUACCGCAUAUGCUCGGUGAUUCAUUUUGCCGAGUAAAGUCGAAAGGCGCUUCAGGAUGGGCCUGCGGCGGAUUAGGUAGUUGGUGGGGUAACGGCCUACCAAGCCGAUGAUCCGUAGGGGGCGUGAGAGCGUGGCCCCCCACACUGGCACUGAGAUACGGGCCAGACUCCUACGGGAGGCAGCAGUGAGGAAUAUUGCGCAAUGGGCGAAAGCCUGACGCAGCAACGCCGCGUGAGGGACGAAGGCCUUCGGGUCGUAAACCUCUUUUCUGGGGAAAGAGCAAGGACGGUACCUCAGGAAUAAGUCUCGGCUAACUACGUG